AGCUUUGCACAGUGGCAGUGUCGUAGCCAAUGAGGUUUAUCCGAGGCGCGAUUAUUGCUAAUUAAAAAAGUGCUAUUCUUUUGUGUUUGUUGGCUUUAAAAUUUAAGUUGAAAAGAACCCAGGUGC
rnacentral:snRNA from 1 species